ACUCUUUCCCCGCUGUCAGUGGCGGUCGACGGGGCGCCUGGAGAAAUCCGUGAAGAUCCUUUCAGCGCGACUGCGGAAACCCACGGAGUGAUUCACUGACGGCUCAUCCGGCAAAUUGGCAACGGAACCAGGAAUCGAACCCAGAGCCCCAGUUUAACCCAGGUCUGAAUGCAAAGGCAGAUGGCAGAAUGUCUGUGGGUAAAUAGCAUGCUUGCUAUAUAUUCCUUUCCUUUCUUUCAAGCACCUUUGAUCCAAUGAUCUUGAGCAGUGGAUAAGGAGUCUUUAUUUCUUUAAGGAAAAUAUGAUGGAGUGAUGCUUGGCCAAAGCCAACGUGAUCCUUGGGUCUCUCUGUGUGUUACGGGCUGUCAAGUUGCCUCCAGCCUAUGGCGACCCUUUGAAUGGAAGACCUCCAAAAUCUCAUAUCAUUAUCAGACUUGCUCAGAUCCCGCAAACUGGAGGACAAGGCUUCUUUUAUUGAGUCGGGUCUCUAUUAGGGCAUGAACCGGGAAAAUAUCGAACCGUGCAGUUCGUGGUUCGUCAUGUUUCAUGAACCACAAACAUUCACGAACUUGCCCCGGUCCACAAACCAGUUCGUUCGGUUUGUGAAAACGUCACUUCCGGGGCAGCAGAAGGUCACUUCCGGGGCUGCAGAAAGCCCCCCCCCGCCAUUGCCUAGGAAACUGAUUCGUGUUAGGCUGUCUGCAGUGACAAACCAAAAAACGAACCAAACGAACCAGCCUAAAGUUCAUAGCGGUUCGUCAGAAAUGGGCUCUGACAAAGUGCCCAUUUGUGAACCACAAACUGGCCAGGUUCCUGACAAAUUUUGGUUCAUAUUUUGGUUCGUGGCCACCUCUAGUUUCUAUCCACCAGCAAAUAAGGAACUAUAUUGUCUUUUGAUACAGUAGGAGAUAGUUCAGUUAAAAUAGGAACAAUUCACAGGUUAUGAUAAGAAUUGUAAUGACAGCAUUCCAAUAUCAUAUGGGACAAAGUGUCAACCUUUUCCAAGUCCCAUUGACAAAGUCUAUCCGAGUAAGGUAUAUUAUGGUAUCUCCCAUAUAAAACUGCUAAAGGGGUGGCAUUCAGACGUGCAAGCAUAAAUGCUCUGCUGUAGCGAAGACCUGUUAAGAGUUUAAUGUAGGCUGGGAUUGUUGGAGAUGGAAGGAUGCCAAAGAACUGGGUAGUACAAGACAGAGGCUAUCCCCAGUAUCAAUGACAAAACAACCACAAAAUACACAAGGGAAAGAAAGUCAAUUACCUUCAGAAUGUAUCAAUACAUAAAUUAAUGCAAAAAUAUUUAUCUGAUGUGAAUAAUAAACAAAUGCGAGCAUAUAAACAUCUCAAUUUACAAUAUCUCGGUUUUCAAUACACCUUACUGAAAGACAUACAGUUCGUUCUACAGCGUCCUCAAGAACAGAGUCUCUAAGUUCUGAAUGAAUUUCACUGAGACGCUGGAGAAAUUGGCAAACGUCCUCUUGCGAAAACGAUUCUCUGUAUCCAAAGAGGAAAACAAUCCGUCAGGAACCGGCCUCAACUGACCUCGUAGAACCAGCAAGUGAAGUUCACAGUUUCUGACUGUGAACAGGGUUGAUGUCAAGUAGUUAUACGGUUCAAUAACCAAUUUCAAUAUA